rnacentral:rRNA from 1 species
CCUACGGGAGGCAGCAGUGGGGAAUAUUGCACAAUGGGGGAAACCCUGAUGCAGCGACGCCGCGUGAGUGAAGAAGUAUUUCGGUAUGUAAAGCUCUAUCAGCAGGAACGAGACAAGACGGUACUUGACUAAGAAGCCCCGGCUAAUUACGUGCCAGCAGCCGCGGUAACACGUAGGGGGCAAGCGUUAUCCGGAAUCAUUGGGUGUAAAGGGAGCGUAGACGGCUGAGCAAGCCUGAAGUGAAAGGCGGGGGCCCAACCCCCGGACUGCUUUGGGAACUGUACGGCUGGAGUGCAGGAGAGGUAAGUGGAAUUCCUAGUGUAGCGGUGAAAUGCGUAGAUAUUAGGAGGAACACCAGUGGCGAAGGCGGCUUACUGGACUGUAACUGACGUUGAGGCUCGAAAGCGUGGGGAGCAAACAGGAUUAGAUACCCUAGUAGUC